AGGGUUCGAUUCUGGCUCAGGAUGAACGCUAGCUACAGGCUUAACACAUGCAAGUCGAGGGGCAUCAGGGAGAAAGCUUGCUUCUUGCUGGCGACCGGCGCACGGGUGAGUAACGCGUAUCCAACCUUCCCCCCAGUAGGGCAUAGCCCGGCGAAAGUCGGAUUUAAUACCCUAUGUUGUGUCAUGAGGACAUCUGAAUAACACCAAAGAUUUAUCGCUGGGGGAUGGGGAUGCGUCCGAUUAGGUUGUUGGCGGGGUAACGGCCCACCAAGCCCGCGAUCGGUAGGGGUUCUGAGAGGAAGGUCCCCCACACUGGUACUGAGACACGGACCAGACUCCUACGGGAGGCAGCAGUGAGGAAUAUUGGUCAAUGGGCGAGAGCCUGAACCAGUCAAGUAGCGUGCCAGGAUGACGGCCCUAUGGGUUGUAAACUGCUUUUAUGCGGGGAUAAAGUGACGUACGUGUACGUUUUUGUAGGUACCGCAUGAAUAAGGACCGGCUAAUUCCGUGCCAGCAGCUGC
rnacentral:rRNA from 1 species